CGGCCGCGUCGACGGGGAGUACGCCGGCAACGGUGAAACUCAAAGGAAUUGACGGGGGCCCGCACAAGCGGAGGAACAUGUGGUUUAAUUCGAUGAUACGCGAGGAACCUUACCCGGGCUUAAAUUGCAGGCGAAUUACCUGGAAACAGGUAAGCCGCAAGGCGUCUGUGAAGGUGCUGCAUGGUUGUCGUCAGCUCGUGCCGUGAGGUGUCGGCUUAAGUGCCAUAACGAGCGCAACCCUCGUGGUCAGUUACUAACAGGUUAAGCUGAGGACUCUGGCCCGCACAAGCG
rnacentral:rRNA from 1 species